rnacentral:lncRNA from 1 species
UAACCUUAGACUCUUUUGUCAGUUCGGACUUCUCAGCAUAAGCAUGACUCUUUAGCACUUUCUUUUCUUUUCUUUCUCAAAGAAUUGUUAUUCCACUGAAGACACAUCUUCAGAGGUGCAAAAAAAACUCCUUUAACAUUUGAAAGAUUUCCUCCCACUGAGCAUCAUCGAAUUUACAACUAAAUUUAUAUUUUUUGCUGCUCUUAAUAAAAUACCAUAUGGUGAUAU